GAUGAACGCUAGCGGCAGGCCUAAUACAUGCAAGUCGUGGGAGAAUGUUGGAUUCGUCUGACAUGAAACCGGCGCACGGGUGCGUAAAACGUAUGCAACCUACCUUUAACUGGGGUAUAGCUCAGAGAAAUCUGAAUUAAUCCCCCAUAAGACUACGACAUGGCAUCAUGAUGUAGUUAAAGCUCCGGCGGUUAAGGAUGGGCAUGCGGUACAUUAGCUAGUUGGUGAGGUAAUGGCUCACCAAGGCUACGAUGUAUAGGGGGUCUGAGAGGAUGAUCCCCCACACUGGUACUGAGACACGGACCAGACUCCUACGGGAGGCAGCAGUAGGGAAUAUUGGUCAAUGGACGCAAGUCUGAACCAGCCAUGCCGCGUGAAGGAUGAAGGCCCUAUGGGUCGUAAACUUCUUUUAUUAGGGAAGAAAAAACGGGAUGCGUCCUGUACUGACGGUACUUAAUGAAUAAGGAUCGGCUAACUUCGUGCCAGCCGCCGCGGUAA
rnacentral:rRNA from 1 species